rnacentral:misc_RNA from 1 species
ACAGGGGUCAGUGGUGGAAGUGAGACCGAAAUAGACUCUGAAGUAAUAUCUGGACUUUGAAAUUGCAGCUGCUCCCAACCCCAGAACCUUUGCUGUCUUGGGACGGAUCACCGCUGCAAGAGGGGAAGUUGCUACUGUGAUGAAUUCUGCCAUGUGGCACCAGACUGCCACCCAGACCACAGUGUCCUCUGCAACCCUGCUUCUCAGAUGACCAAGAUGGUGCUGCAGAUGGUGCUGAGGAUGGAGAACCCACCAAGCCCCGCUAGGAGCCACCUAGACUGGAUGCAGAGCAUGGUUCAGCGAGUUCUCCAAACCAGCCUCCCAGGAAUGCCAUUCACCAUGGCUGUGAGGAGAAUAAAGAAGAGAGCCUGACUCCUCUCCUGAGGCCCCUUCCCCACCCUGAGCCAGCAGGAUCCACGGAGCAGAGGUCAUCUGUCCCCAGCUUGGCCCACUGAGGCCAGCAUGGCUGGGCCCAGGAUGCUUGUCUCUCAGCUCCCAUCCUGUGUACUUCCACAUUGGUUUAACCAGAGGAAAACCGAAAUCUACAAUUGUCAUAAACACAUUUAAAUGUGCGUAGAAUCAGCCAUACAAAUUGUGAAACAUA